rnacentral:rRNA from 1 species
GAUGAACGCUAGCUACAGGCUUAACACAUGCAAGUCGAGGGGCAUCAGGAAGAAAGCUUGCUUUCUUUGCUGGCGACCGGCGCACGGGUGAGUAACACGUAUCCAACCUGCCCUUUACUCGGGGAUAGCCUUUCGAAAGAAAGAUUAAUACCCGAUAGCAUAAUGAUUCCGCAUGGUUUCAUUAUUAAAGGAUUCCGGUAAAGGAUGGGGAUGCGUUCCAUUAGGUUGUUGGUGAGGUAACGGCCCACCAAGCCUUCGAUGGAUAGGGGUUCUGAGAGGAAGGUCCCCCACAUUGGAACUGAGACACGGUCCAAACUCCUACGGGAGGCAGCAGUGAGGAAUAUUGGUCAAUGGGCGCUAGCCUGAACCAGCCAAGUAGCGUGAAGGAUGAAGGCUCUAUGGGUCGUAAACUUCUUUUAUAUAAGAAUAAAGUGCAGUAUGUAUACUGUUUUGUAUGUAUUAUAUGAAUAAGGAUCGGCUAACUCCGUGCCAGCAGCCGCGGUAAUACGGAGGAUCCGAGCGUUAUCCGGAUUUAUUGGGUUUAAAGGGAGCGUAGGUGGACUGGUAAGUCAGUUGUGAAAGUUUGCGGCUCAACCGUAAAAUUGCAGUUGAUACUGUCAGUCUUGAGUACAGUAGAGGUGGGCGGAAUUCGUGGUGUAGCGGUGAAAUGCUUAGAUAUCACGAAGAACUCCGAUUGCGAAGGCAGCUCACUGGACUGCAACUGACACUGAUGCUCGAAAGUGUGGGUAUCAAACAGGAUUAGAUACCCUGGUAGUCCACACAGUAAACGAUGAAUACUCGCUGUUUGCGAUAUACAGUAAGCGGCCAAGCGAAAGCAUUAAGUAUUCCACCUGGGGAGUACGCCGGCAACGGUGAAACUCAAAGGAAUUGACGGGGGCCCGCACAAGCGGAGGAACAUGUGGUUUAAUUCGAUGAUACGCGAGGAACCUUACCCGGGCUUAAAUUGCAGUGGAAUGAUGUGGAAACAUGUCAGUGAGCAAUCACCGCUGUGAAGGUGCUGCAUGGUUGUCGUCAGCUCGUGCCGUGAGGUGUCGGCUUAAGUGCCAUAACGAGCGCAACCCUUAUCUUUAGUUACUAACAGGUUAUGCUGAGGACUCUAGAGAGACUGCCGUCGUAAGAUGUGAGGAAGGUGGGGAUGACGUCAAAUCAGCACGGCCCUUACGUCCGGGGCUACACACGUGUUACAAUGGGGGGUACAGAAGGCAGCUAGCGGGUGACCGUAUGCUAAUCCCAAAAUCCUCUCUCAGUUCGGAUCGAAGUCUGCAACCCGACUUCGUGAAGCUGGAUUCGCUAGUAAUCGCGCAUCAGCCACGGCGCGGUGAAUACGUUCCCGGGCCUUGUACACACCGCCCGUCAAGCCAUGGGAGCCGGGGGUACCUGAAGUACGUAACCGCAAGGAUCGUCCUAGGGUAAAACUGGUGACUGGGGCUAAGUCA